rnacentral:rRNA from 1 species
AAGUCGUAACAAGGUUUCCGUAGGUGAACCUGCGGAAGGAUCAUUAUUGAAUAAACUUGCACAGGCUGUUGCUGGCCCUCAAGGGGUAUGUGCACGCUUGUCAUCUUUAUCUCUCCAACUGUGCACAUAUUGUAGACCUGGAGUCCCUGUUGAUUCAUUUCGAGUUGGGACUGCUGUGCUUUGUACUUCAGAGUCAGCUUUGCCUUUUUCAUACCCAGGUCUAUGUCAUUUUCACAACCUCUUGAAUGUGUUUAGAAUGUCGAAUCAGGUCUUUUUGUACCUAUAAAGUUAAAUAUACAACUUUCAGCAACGGAUCUCUUGGCUCUCGCAUCGAUGAAGAACGCAGCGAAAUGCGAUAAGUAAUGUGAAUUGCAGAAUUCAGUGAAUCAUCGAAUCUUUGAACGCAUCUUGCGCUCCUUGGUACUCCGAGGAGCAUGCCUGUUUGAGUGUCAUUUAAAUUCUCAACCACAUCAAUUUAUUUGGUGAGGCUUGGAUGUGGGGGUGUUUUUGCGGGCUUCUGUAAAUUUGAAGUCGGCUCCCCUAAAAUGCAUUAGUGGUAUCUGAGCAGAAGAAACUACUACAGGUGUGAUAACUAUCUAUGCCUCAGUAUCCUGCACAAUCAGAUUGUGCUGCUUCUAACGAGUGGAGAUUCCUUUCGGGGGACCACAUUUGUUGAAUUGACCUC